GCGUAAAAUGGAUUUUGAAGUGAAAGCAAUUCAAAUUGUUUCUGAUCUCCGAAAAACGGUGAAUUGCAUUCGUAGGUUUUUUACAUUGUAACAACCACGAUAUUAGCUAUAUAGCAAGAGGAUGUAAUUCUAAAUAUUGAUUCAAACGUUACCGAAAGAAUACCUAUGACUUCCGGUUUGUGUUUGUUGACUAACACAUGUGGAGUUUCUUCUAUUAAGCUUUUGGGCAGUAGAAGUUUGUUUUUUCGACUGUAUUUUGAGUGCGUUUUAUAUAUUUGUGUGUGUCUUGUGUGUUUUGUGUUUUUGUGUGUUCAAUUUACUGGCAGCGAAAUAACGCCUGAAAAAACUUUAAAGUUUUAAGCCCGCAGAUUACCCAUGUGUGGUCACUACGCGACACUGGCAGUAAUUGUUGCGCAAGACAGCAGAUUGCCAAAACCUUAAAAAAAAAAAAAAAAAAAAGAA